rfam:Bacillus circulans strain RIT379 contig103, whole genome shotgun sequence.
GGCCUAUAGCUCAGCUGGUUAGAGCGCACGCCUGAUAAGCGUGAGGUCGAUGGUUCGAGUCCAUUUAGGCCCA